rnacentral:ncRNA from 1 species
AAGGUGUAUGAAAGGAGAGAAGGUCAGUACUCCCCUUGACAAGGACAGAAGAGGCCCUCAGGCCUGACAACAUGCAAUCAAGGCAUUUCCAUGUACAUGGCAUCUAAUGAACAUUUCAG